rnacentral:lncRNA from 1 species
UAUUGUAGCUGAAAAAACUUGUUUUUUUGACACGUUAUCCUCUUUAGUAAUCAUACUCUUUAUUUUGUGGUUGUAUUGCUUCUUAGACAAUAUUGAACAAUGUGCUUAGAUUUUCCACAAUAUAAGCAUAAAUCUUCUUGAUGACAUUGAGUCUUUUUUUAUUCAAUAUAAGUCUUAAAAUGUACCAUAUUAAUAUGCAUAGGUUUUUAUCUUGAAGACAUUUAGUCUUUUUUUACUCAGUAGAAAGCUUAAAAUGUACCAUGUCAAUUUAUAUAGGUACUUCUUUUAAUGAAUAAGCUUCUAUAAAUUAAGAAG